AUCCCUCCAAGCGCUGGCCAAGAAGCACGGCUCCAUUCUCUUCCUGCGACUUGGGAUUAUCCCUGCUGUGGUGGUUUCUAGCGUUGAUCUGGCAAAAGAAGUACUCAAGAAUCAGGAUUUGACAUUUGCUUCCAGGCCUUACUUUCUUGUCGGAGAGGAUGUUGGCUACCACUUCAUGGGGAUGUCCCUCGCAGGUUACGGUGAUCACUGGAAGAAGUUGCGGAGACUCUACACUUUGGAGCUCUUCACCGCUAAAAGGAUUGAUUCUUUCCUCUCGCUGCGCUUGGAGGAGCUCUCUCACAUGCUGUCAGCUGUGUUAUAUGCACACGAGAAGAAUCAGGCCGUAAACAUGAGGAACCUCUUGACAUGUUUUACCUUCAACACCAUCACCCGGAUCUUGAUGAACAAGAGGUACUUCCAGCACCAAGGAGAGGAGUUGCAAGGCAUUGAUUCCAGCGAAGCUAGUGUUUUCAAGGCCGUCUUGAGCGAGAUCACAGAGAUCUCCCUGCAGUUUC
rnacentral:lncRNA from 1 species